UAGAGGAAAUAUUGCAUGUGAUGAUUGAAGAGGUGUUUGUUGAUGUUGUACUGUGCAGAUGAGUCCAUGAACACUACCAUUAUGAAUGUUAAUGGCAUAUAGCUUUUCAUCAUAGCUGAUCUGCCAGCUGAGGAAAGCGUUGCAGCAGCCAAACUACCCCCUGGAUGGCAACCUGCAUGGUCCAGAGCUGCCUCUCCAGGCUUGAUUGCGGGCUCAACACUAUCCCGACCGUAAAUUAUUUGUCUUCUGCUGUUCUUGACCUCUAGCCGAUAAAAGCUGCAUCCUUUGCUAAAUGGGAAUGGCUUGCCCUUCCAGUCUNNNNUCUAAAUGCCAUGUAACUCCAACUGCUAAGGAAUCCUCAGCAGAAAUAUCAUCAAUAACAAAUCGGAGGUCCUUGCUGAUAGAAUCAUUGAACUUCUUAAAGAACUCUAAAAUAUCCUUCCGACCAAUGAAGGGCCGUGGAAAGAUAAGGUCGUCGUACACACAAUUCUCCGCAAUGAGCUUCUCCACGGCGGCAAGAUCGCGGUCGUUGAUUCCUUUAUAGAAGCUCCUCACUAUCUCC
rnacentral:misc_RNA from 1 species